AGUACGUACAAUUUUGGUACUGUACGUACAUGAUGUAAAAUGUACGUUUUAAGUACGUACACUGGGGUACAUACCAGUACGUACAGAAGAGUACGUACUAAGUACGUACUAUUACGUCUAAGUAUGUACCAUGAGAAAGAAGAGCUAUGUCAGGUUAUGUUAACCUAACCUAAUUUAUUUGGUUAGGAACUUUCCUUCCACCUCGAGUGCUCGAGUACAGUUUUGAUGUGAUAAUUCAUUGCAAGACAGUUUCUUUAGAUUUUUUUUUACUUAUUUUUGGUGUUGGAGCUUAGUGUGGUUUCCUGUUAUCUUAUUGAGAAGCUGCAAUAAAAAGUCAAAAAUGUAGUGAUAAGAAGGUGGCGGAGCAAGAAAUUGGACGAUGGUUGAGGAGAGCCGGGGAUCGCUUAAAAACUUUCAAGGAAAAGGAAUCAGAAUAAAAAUUGAAUUUAUUUUUUUUUAAAUAAUAAAGAUAUAUUCACCUA